rnacentral:rRNA from 1 species
AAUUUUGGACAAUGGGGGAAACCCUGAUCCAGCCAUCCCGCGUGUAUGAUGAAGGCCUUCGUGUUGUAAAGUACUUUUGUCAGAGAGGAAAAGGUACCUCCUAAUACGAGGUACUGCUGCCGGUAUCUGCAGAAUAAGCACCGGCUAACUACGUGCCAGCAGCCGCGGUAAUACGUAGGGUGCAAGCGUUAAUCGGAAUUACUGGGCGUAAAGCGUGUAUAGGCGGUUCGGAAAGAACGGUGUGAAAACCCAGGGCUCAAACUUGGAACUGCAUUUUGAACUGCGGAGCUAGAGUAUGUCGGAGGGGGAUAGAAAUCCACGUGUAGAAGUGAAAUGCGUAGAUAUGUGGAGAAAUACCGAUGGCGAAAGCAGCCCCCUGGGAUAAUACUGACGCUCAGACACGAAAGCGUGGGGAGCAAACA